rnacentral:rRNA from 1 species
CACCGCGGUUAUACGAGAGGCCCUAGUUGACACAUUCCGGCGUAAAGAGUGGUUAUGGGAAUUAAAAACUAGAGCUGAAGACUCCUAGGGCCGUUAUACGUUUUCCAGGAGUUCGAAACACUAAAACGAAAGUAGCUCUAUCCUUACCUACCAGACUCCACGACAGCUGAGACA